CAGAUCCUAAAAUUUUUAUUUCUCCUGUUAUUUCGGCAGAGCGUAUGGGGUUCCUGGGAGUAGGAGAAAAACUCAUAACAAGGAAAUCACUAAAUUCUCAAUCAAGGUCAUCCCACGUGUCAAAGUUGACAGAGUCCUGUCUGUUUCACCUGUUACGAGAGUGUGCAGCUGCAUCACAGAUCCGGGUUUAUUCAAUCUGGAUCAUAAAGCUAUGGUCUUACAUGAAACAAGGGAUGCGGGAUUUAUGAUCGUGUUUGGUUUGGGUUAUCAAGAGUCUAUUUCCUGUCAAUAGGAAAUGAAAUCAUAAAAAAUAAAACUACCGAUAGGACUCAACACGGGAACUGCUGUAUCAUAAUGACCGUGUUCCCAUGGUGAUCUCACAAGAUAUGCAAACACCCGGGGCCACUUUACCGUCAGCACACGAUUUAGGAGUGACAUUGAGUCCGUUGGUAGAUGGUAGGCGUCUGCCUGUAGCCUCAGAGGCCUGCCGACAACCAAAAACUACCAGGAGCAGGAUGCUGGAAGCUGCCAUAGUAUUCCACUAACUUGAAAGCCACCCUGAUGCAUGAUUGUCAAAGAUUUAGGAAUAUAAAAGAAAAGUCAAAUUGAGCGCUUUGGAGGUAAGCAACUUUGGUGCUAACUCCACGCUCAACCUCAAGACCCAUGGGCAGCCUAGAGGACAAAGUCACAUUGGUGGACCUUGUCCUUGAUUCAGGUGUCUGGUGCCUCCAGCAAAUCAAGCUGCCCGUGCUUUAAAAAUCUGUGGAAAGUAGCAUCAGCCGUGCCACGGACUUGAACUUGAGUCAGGCCUGCUCGUCACGAGGCUCCUCUUUCCAGCGGAGCAUGGUGGGUGGAGGCGUGCGACAGUGACUUCGCUUUGCUCUGAAGUUGGGACGCAGGCACAGCACACCAUAAAGACAACAGGCAACAUGACGGUGGAAUGUUCGGGAAGAAGAAGAAAGCCUGGAAGCCAACCUGCUGUGUCCUGAUUAGACUCCGGGUGGGUCGGCUCAAGCAAACGGGAGGCAGAAAGGACCUCGAUCAUUUUGGAAAUCCGUGCUACCGACGGACAGAGGGCCGUCAUCCAGAGGACAAUUUUUAUAGCCCGGUCCGGUGUCGGGGAGAAUGCUGAGCCUUUCUGUGUAGGCAUGGUCUUAGAGGAGAGCAACCGUGGCUGACGGGGCACCUUCUAAUGAGAAGAUUAGAAACAGAACACACAGCUUGUCCUGGCUGUGCCUCCAGCUGUGGAACCCAGGGCACAUCCCUUAAGUCGAAUUUCGGUUUUUCUCCUGUGUCACCAAAGAUCACUCCUGAGUGUCCGUCCUAUGUGUCGCUCGCUGCUGCAGCAUUUGAUACUGGUACCUGUCCCGAGCCUAAAACUCCUUCCUAUCUGGUUCGAAUGCAGAUUCUGAAUCCGUCGGACUGGGGGUGGGGCCCGAGAUUCUGUAUUUCUACCAAGUUUCCAGGGAAGGAAGGCAGGUGCUGGUGGUCCGUGGACCACGCUUGUAGUAGCACGGCCCUCGCCUAGUUCCUGGCACUUCGAGGCACGCGGUGGCAUUUACCUCUCCCCGCCCGUCUCUGCUCCUCCCUCUUGGUGCCUUUGACGUUUUCUCAUACCACUUGCACAUGGCUCCCCGCACCAUGCUUUAGUUAGCUGCUGUCUCCAUGUCUCCCACGAGACUGCGAGCGGUUUGGGGGUAGACACUACACAGCCUUCCUUUCAAUGUCAUCCGUGCCCUGCGUUGGACCAGGUACAUAAAAAAAGGAUCAAUCAAUGUUUGAUGAACUAAGCCUGUAAAUUGGAAAUCAGAACAUCAGUGCUGCCUGCCUCGACGAGUUGUUGUCGUGAGCAAACGCCGUAAUUUGGGAGAGAGAGCGUGGAAACGGAUCGUACGGUACAAACAUAAAGUGUUAUUAUCAAUCAGCUUUCUACUCUGCAGCAGUUCAGACCCCUGUAGCUGAAGCAUGUUGGUUGUGGCAUUCGCUCGGGCUCUGAUGAUUAUAAAAACUCAGAUUCAUCUAUGAUUUCAAAAUAAACCACAUUCUCUCCAGGCUAACAAGGGUGGCAGUCUCUGCCCAUGGGUGAUGAAGGAUCAAAGAGGUUCAGACUACAGUGGGUUAUCAAGGAGACUCGACCUGGUCCAGGCCUAUGUAGGCAGCAGCUUAGGCCUCCAGAGGCUCCCUGAGUACAGUGGGAUCCUGAGAGAGGGAAGGCACCAGCUUUUAAGCAGGUGACAAGAAGAAAGUACAGAACUGGAAUCCCUUCUAGAGGGAAAGCUGACCCCUGCCUUUAGAGAGAAGCAAGAGAGAGAGAACCACUAGAGAGAAGGCAAGAAUGGAAGACCCAGAGGCCAAGAGACACUCUAAUCAUGCAGAAACCUCCUAGCUAAGAAGGUAAACCCAGCCAUUUCUUGGGAAGGUGUUCCUAAAUUUGCUUCAGCUGACAUAAUUGUUGUCUUAGUAAAUAUGCAUCCCUCAGUCCUGGGAAGAUUUAGAAUUAAAGAGAGCUACCGUGAAGGAAAUCACACCUCAUGGUGUUAUAUUUUUAUAGUAAAGAAUCUACCUAGUUGGUAUUUUAAAUGCCUCUAAUGUUUAAGGUUUUAAAUACUCAUAUUUAAUAGAAAUAUUUUA